UUGUGACAAGACAAUGAAUUGGGGAUUGGGUUGGGUGGGCUAGGGUUUUGGUUCGGGUAGGAUUCUUUUGCCUUAUUGCAAGACCAAAAAAACAAAAUAGGUGAGUCUAGAAGGUUUCAGGCAUCGAUAAAAAAUAAAAAAAACCCUAACCCCAAUUGAAGAUAAUCAGAAUUAGGAUCAUCGACUCCAUCUUUUCUAUCAUGCGUUCUGGUUUGCCUCGUUAACAAUGGCUAAGAGAUACGCAUUCCGACGGAUGUGAAACACCUUCGGAUGAAAUCUUGAUUGUUGAUGACGGCGAUUACCAUUCGGGUGUGCACUGAGGCGGGACUAGUAUAGGUGGCAUACACUCACACUGAAAAAAAUACUGUUCUUGGACUGUAUGGAAUGACUGAUGCAGAUGCAUAACCAAUAUUGUUCUGCUCGUGCAAAGACAAUUCAGUUCGUAUGUAUGAAUUGGUGAUGUAUAUUUUCCUCUAAUAAUGGUGCUUGUUCUAUGGCAACAUCAAUUGUUAAUCUUGAUGAUGAAUAGGUAUGGUUAGUAGUGACAUUUGGUUUAAUACUUCCAUUGAAAGAUUUUUCUCAAAAUAAACGAAGACAUAUUUUGAUAUUUACGGAUAUAUUUCCUCCAAUGUGGUGGUUGUUUGAUGAUUUUGUUGGUAUUUUUUUAUAUUCUGUAGUUGUUGCGUUUUAGAGAUUUUUCAGUGGUAUUCUUUUGAUA